UAUGGGUAUUGUAUCCUUGGGAGUUUAUUUGAUGGUAUUAUUUCUUUGUUUCUUGCUCCUAUUUGUAUUGUUUGGGGUUAUAAAUUGCGGAAUUAGUUACUUGUAAUCUACUCCUGCAUUAGUGUUACUCUGCAUUAGCUGUUCAACCUGUUUGGGAAAUUCUCCUUGGCAAGGGGAUUGGGCCAGAUUGAAGCAACGGACUGAAGUGUCUAAUGGGCUUUUCUCAAUUGAAUCAAUCUAUCAGUCCGUAUCUAGGGGGUGAAAAAUACAACUUAUACACCAUUCCUGUCCAAGAUCUGCAUCAUAUUGAUGCCAGAGUGGGAUCAGCAACAUCAGUCUGUUUUACACCAUGUGGUUGCUUGGAUCCAAUUUUUAUUUUGAUCUGAUGAAUGGAUUUGGUUUUCUAGAUGCUCUUGUAUUAUGUAAUCAAAAGGUUAUGACAGAGUUCACCCUAUAAUAGUUAUGACCCUUUCUGUGGUGUCAGCAGUUUAUUAAUGUUGUCAAAGAUCUCGCAACUCUACUAUUAAUGGCGUAAAUGCCAAACUUGGUUCCUUGUCAGUGGGCUUUGGGUUAUGAAGCCAAACCUUGGGGACAAGUUGAUUUACACUUUGGUGUCCCCUUCCACAUGCAACAUAUUAGUUAAUUUACUUGAUAUAUUUAAAUAAGUCUAUGACUUGUGAUACUACUUUAAUAUCAACAAUUUCAAGGAAUCAGAACAUGAAAUGUAAAAAGUUCUUGAGAGAGAUCCUAGGAUCUCCAAUCUGGUCUUCUUCUAUUUUUGGUCCUUAGUUCUUCUCUAGAUUUCUCUCCAAAGUGAUCCAACUUCUUCAUUCUUUUUCUUCAAUGCAUGGUUAGCAAUGCACAAGGACAACAUGUUGACCCACAAGAAGAGUGGUCUUUUACUUCUCCUUUCUCCUCUGUCAGUGCCUUCGUUACUGCUUUCUUGAUGGAAGCUCUAAGUAUAUCCAAGCACCUAACCAGACUACCAUAGUUACAGCCAGAAAUCUAUAAUUUAGUUUUGAAAAUCAUCAUAUGUAAUGCGGUGAUUGGGAUUUUUCUUUUGCUUCUCUUUUAGGUCACUUGGACAAAGUAUUAAUGGAAAAAAGAAGGGAAAUUAAGAUGUGGAAAAAGUUGCAGGCUUAGAAUGGACCAAUGACCUUUGACCUGAUUUGAAAAGGGGUUUGUUAUCAGAAUAUGAAGAGAAAUGGUUAUUGAUCCCCAUGCUUCUCUUUGCAACAGAUGGUCCAAGAUAGCUGCUCAUCUCCCUGGUAGAACUAAUAAUGAAAUGAAGAAUCACUGGAACACCCACAUCAAGGAGCUAAAGAAGAUGGGAAUUGAUACCGUCACUCACCAGCCAAUCCCCACAUCAACUACCAUCACCAACACCACCACUAGUACUGCAACAACAAUUUUCUGUUUCUGCCAUUUGUGAAGCAGACCAGAACAGGGGAAAUGAGCGUUUUUAGAGUCGACUGUUAAUGAGAUUAAAGAACAAGAAAACAACUUAUCAGUAUUACAAGCCCAUUCAAUUGUACAGAUAACAAUGAUAGUUUCUGUACAGAUGAAGUUCCUCUGAUUGAACUCAAAUGAGAUUCUAGUCCCUCAUGUGCCGUCUUCGUCAACUUCUUCAACUUCAUCCUCUUCAGCUUCAUCUGAGAUGCUGGAAGAUAUGCAAUUUUCAAGUUUUCGAUCAAGAACCUUGGAAAUUAGACCCCUUGUGAUUAUAUUUCAGUAUGAAAGGAAAAAAAAAUGGAUGUGAGGGAAGUAUCUCAAUCAAAGUUGUACAUAAUUUCUGAAUCUCAAUUUCAAAAUAAUAAAAAUUGUCAAAUGCCUUGGAAACAUUUCCAAUAGCAGAAUGAAGAAUCUUAUAAUUUAUGUAAUUUUUUUUUCUCUAAAAUAAGUUGGAUUUACUCUGUAUUUAUUCUUGAUAUUACAUCUAGACUUGGACCACUUUGUGGACAUUUCAGUGAGGGUAGCAUUGACAUGUAGAAGAUUAAUGAUAUGGUCAAUAUAGUGCAGGUUUGGGUGAAUUAUUUA